UCNNNNNNNNNNNNNNNNNNNNGACGAAAAAUGAAUACCAAGUCUCAAGAGUGAACACGUAAUUCAUUACGAAGUUUAAUUCAUUGAGCAUCAAACUUUUAAAUUGAAGAGUUUGAUCAUGGCUCAGAUUGAACGCUGGCGGCAGGCCUAACACAUGCAAGUCGAACGGUAACAGGAAGCAGCUUGCUGCUUUGCUGACGAGUGGCGGACGGGUGAGUAAUGUCUGGGAAACUGCCUGAUGGAGGGGGAUAACUACUGGAAACGGUGGCUAAUACCGCAUAACGUCGCAAGACCAAAGAGGGGGACCUUCGGGCCUCUUGCCAUCAGAUGUGCCCAGAUGGGAUUAGCUUGUUGGUGAGGUAACGGCUCACCAAGGCGACGAUCCCUAGCUGGUCUGAGAGGAUGACCAGCCACACUGGAACUGAGACACGGUCCAGACUCCUACGGGAGGCAGCAGUGGGGAAUAUUGCACAAUGGGCGCAAGCCUGAUGCAGCCAUGCCGCGUGUAUGAAGAAGGCCUUCGGGUUGUAAAGUACUUUCAGCGGGGAGGAAGGUGUUGUGGUUAAUAACCGCAGCAAUUGACGUUACCCGCAGAAGAAGCACCGGCUAACUCCGUGCCAGCAGCCGCGGUAAUACGGAGGGUGCAAGCGUUAAUCGGAAUUACUGGGCGUAAAGCGCACGCAGGCGGUCUGUCAAGUCGGAUGUGAAAUCCCCGGGCUCAACCUGGGAACUGCAUUCGAAACUGGCAGGCUUGAGUCUUGUAGAGGGGGGUAGAAUUCCAGGUGUAGCGGUGAAAUGCGUAGAGAUCUGGAGGAAUACCGGUGGCGAAGGCGGCCCCCUGGACAAAGACUGACGCUCAGGUGCGAAAGCGUGGGGAGCAAACAGGAUUAGAUACCCUGGUAGUCCACGCCGUAAACGAUGUCUACUUGGAGGUUGUGCCCUUGAGGCGUGGCUUCCGGAGCUAACGCGUUAAGUAGACCGCCUGGGGAGUACGGCCGCAAGGUUAAAACUCAAAUGAAUUGACGGGGGCCCGCACAAGCGGUGGAGCAUGUGGUUUAAUUCGAUGCAACGCGAAGAACCUUACCUGGUCUUGACAUCCACGGAAGUUUUCAGAGAUGAGAAUGUGCCUUCGGGAACCGUGAGACAGGUGCUGCAUGGCUGUCGUCAGCUCGUGUUGUGAAAUGUUGGGUUAAGUCCCGCAACGAGCGCAACCCUUAUCCUUUGUUGCCAGCGGUCCGGCCGGGAACUCAAAGGAGACUGCCAGUGAUAAACUGGAGGAAGGUGGGGAUGACGUCAAGUCAUCAUGGCCCUUACGACCAGGGCUACACACGUGCUACAAUGGCGCAUACAAAGAGAAGCGACCUCGCGAGAGCAAGCGGACCUCAUAAAGUGCGUCGUAGUCCGGAUUGGAGUCUGCAACUCGACUCCAUGAAGUCGGAAUCGCUAGUAAUCGUGGAUCAGAAUGCCACGGUGAAUACGUUCCCGGGCCUUGUACACACCGCNNNNNNNNNNNNNNNNNNNNCGUCACACCAUGGGAGUGGGUUGCAAAAGAAGUAGGUAGCUUAACCUUCGGGAGGGCGCUUACCACUUUGUGAUUCAUGACUGGGGUGAAGUCGUAACAAGGUAACCGUAGGGGAACCUGCGGUUGGAUCACCUCCUUACCUUAAAGAAGCGUACUUUGCAGUGCUCACACAGAUUGUCUGAUGAAAA
rnacentral:rRNA from 1 species